UUCUUGGCUGCUGCUCAAGGAUGGCAUGGGCACUCAGAAGAAGGUGCCGGGAAGGACACCUCCUGGGGAGCCAUCCACCGGAAGGAACUCCUGGGAGAGAAGGUCUGUCGUGUCUGCAGGACAUUCAUUUCCAACUACCCUGUCGUGAACCACAGAGCGCCCCCCGGGCCAAGGAAAGGAAGACUGAAGACCUGUCCGCCUAAAGCGAGCUGUCUGGGAAAAGACGACGGAUAUUCAACAUUUCUAACAAAUCUUGAAUUGCUCAGCUAACCAAAUGAUUUCACAUUCUUGCGGCGAGUUCAAGUAUAGUUUCUAACGGCAUUUUUAUAGCCUCCUUCUCUGUCUACCCACCUUUCCAAAUAGUGUCUGAACCUCCCCAAGAUACUUGAUUAAAUCUAAAUUAAAAAAAGCAAAGGGGGACAAAAGGAAGAAACCCGAACUGUAAGAAAGUGUGGGGAGGAAAAGCAUGUGGAGACGUCAGCAUUUAGGCUCUAUAGGAAGUCACAAAUCAUUUUGAAAUUAGGAUGAAACCCGAAGAGGAAACGGUGCUUGAGAGACAGGCUGACACUUUGAGGGACAGUGGCUGACUUCUGAGCGGAAACAUGGGGGUCAACUGGAGCAAACGGCAGCCUUCAGUUCAAAGUGCUUAUCCAGCGAAGGGACC